UCCGGUUUGGCACCGGCAGUCUUCCUAGGGUCCCCGCCAUUACGCGCUGGCAACUAAGAACAGGAGUUGCGCUCGUUGCGGGACUUAACCCAACAUCUCACGACACGAGCUGACGACAGCCAUGCAGCACCUCUACAGGCAACCGACUUUACGGUUCGCCCCCCGUUUCCGGGGAACUACUACCUGCACUUCAAGCCCAGGUAAGGUUCUUCGCGUUGCGUCGAAUUAAACCACAUGCUCCACCGCUUGUGCGGGCCCCCGUCAAUUCCUUUGAGUUUCAGCCUUGCGGCCGUACUCCCCAGGCGGGGCACUUACUGCGUUAGCGACGGCACCGGGAGGGUCGCUCCCCCCGACGCCUAGUGCCCAUCGUUUACGGCGUGGACUAC
rnacentral:misc_RNA from 1 species